UACGUAGGGUGCGAGCGUUGUCCGGAAUUACUGGGCGUAAAGAGCUUGUAGGUGGUUUGUCGCGUUGUUCGUGAAAUCUCACGGCUCAACUGUGAGCGUGCGGGCGAUACGGGCAGACUAGAGUACUGCAGGGGAGACUGGAAUUCCUGGUGUAGCGGUGGAAUGCGCAGAUAGUCAGGAGGAACACCGGUGGCGAAGGCGGGUCUCUGGGCAGUAACUGACGCUGGAG
rnacentral:rRNA from 1 species